GAUGAACGCUGGCGGCGUGCCUAAUACAUGCAAGUCGAGCGAACGGACGAGAAGCUUGCUUCUCUGAUGUUAGCGGCGGACGGGUGAGUAACACGUGGAUAACCUACCUAUAAGACUGGGAUAACUUCGGGAAACCGGAGCUAAUACCGGAUGAUAUUUUGAACCGCAUGGUUCAAAAGUGAAAGACGGUCUUGCUGUCACUUAUAGAUGGAUCCGCGCUGCAUUAGCUAGUUGGUAAGGUAACGGCUUACCAAGGCAACGAUGCAUAGCCGACCUGAGAGGGUGAUCGGCCCACCUGGAACUGGGACACGGUCCAGACCCCUACGGGAGGCAGCAGUGGGGAAUCUUCCCAAAUGGGCGAAAGCCUGACGGAGCAACGCCGGGGGAGUGAUGAAGGUCUUCGGUUCGUAAAACUCUGUUAUUAGGGAAAAACAUAUGUGUAAGUAACUGUGCCCCUCUUGACGGUACCUAAUCAGAAAGCCGCGGCUAACUACGU
rnacentral:rRNA from 1 species